rnacentral:rRNA from 1 species
UACGUAGGGCGCAAGCGUUGUCCGGAGUUAUUGGGCGUAAAGAGCUCGUAGGCGGUUUGUCGCGUCUGCUGUGAAAACCUAAGGCUCAACCUUGGGCUUGCAGUGGGUACGGGCAGACUAGAGUGCGGUAGGGGUGACUGGAAUUCCUGGUGUAGCGGUGGAAUGCGCAGAUAUCAGGAGGAACACCGAUGGCGAAGGCAGGUCACUGGGCCGCAACUGACGCUGAGGAGCGAAAGCAUGGGGAGCGAACAGG